AAAGUCGUAACAAGGUUUCCGUAGGUGAACCUGCGGAAGGAUCAUUCACAAUGAGUGUUUAAUGGCACUUCAAAUCCAUUACCCACCUUGUGUGCAUUGUCGGGAGAACUCUCUCAAUCUCUCUCGGGAGGAAGAGGAGGUUCUCUUUCAUACAUACUCUGUUCUUUCAGUAUCAGUCUACUUCAAUUGAGUAAUAAAACUCGAAUACAACUUUCAACAACGGAUCUCUUGGCUCUC
rnacentral:misc_RNA from 1 species